rnacentral:rRNA from 1 species
AUUUGGUUAAGUUAGAAAGGGCGCACGGUGGAUGCCUUGACACUAGGAGUCGAUGAAGGACGGGACUAACGCCGAUAUGCUUCGGGGAGCUGUAAGUAAGCUUUGAUCCGAAGAUUUCCGAAUGGGGAAACCCACCAUACGUAAUGGUAUGGUAUCCUUAUCUGAAUACAUAGGGUAAGGAAGACAGACCCAGGGAACUGAAACAUCUAAGUACCUGGAGGAAGAGAAAGCAAAUGCGAUUUCCUGAGUAGCGGCGAGCGAAACGGAACAUAGCCCAAACCAAGAGGCUUGCCUCUUGGGGUUGUAGGACAUUCUAUACGGAGUUACAAAGGAAUGAGGUAGACGAAGCGACCUGGAAAGGUCCGUCGUAGAGGGUAACAACCCCGUAGUCGAAACUUCGUUCUCUCUUGAAUGUAUCCUGAGUACGGCGGAACACGUGAAAUUCCGUCGGAAUCUGGGAGGACCAUCUCCCAAGGCUAAAUACUCCCUAGUGAUCGAUAGUGAACCAGUACCGUGAGGGAAAGGUGAAAAGNACCCCGGAAGGGGAGUGAAAGAGAUCCUGAAACCGUGUGCCUACAAAUAGUCAGAGCCCGUUAACGGGUGAUGGCGUGCCUUUUGUAGAAUGAACCGGCGAGUUACGAUCCCGUGCGAGGUUAAGCUGAAGAGGCGGAGCCGCAGCGAAAGCGAGUCUGAAUAGGGCGUUUAGUACGUGGUCGUAGACCCGAAACCAGGUGAUCUACCCAUGUCCAGGGUGAAGUUCAGGUAACACUGAAUGGAGGCCCGAACCCACGCAUGUU